UACGUAGGUUGCGAGCGUUGUCCGGAUUUACUGGGCGUAAAGAGCGCGCAGGCGGUCGUACAAGUCGCGUGUGAAAGCCCCCGGCUCAACUGGGGAGGGUCACGCGAUACUGUUCGACUCGAAGGCAGGAGAGGGAAGUGGAAUUCCCGGUGUAGUGGUGAAAUGCGUAGAUAUCGGGAGGAACACCAGUGGCGAAGGCGACUUCCUGGCCUGUUCUUGACGCUGAGGCGCGAAAGCUAGGGUAGCAAACGGG
rnacentral:rRNA from 1 species